AACUGUCUCCCUGCUGCAUCCCUGCAGGUGUGCACAUUCGAAGCCACACCUGGUCUGUUUUCUGUGCACUGUGGCCUUAGCCUCACCUUUCCUCCCGUGUCUCCCGGUGGCAUGCUCCAGGGCUUGCCUUUUUUUUUUUUUUUUAAUCAAUUACACUGAAGUUGGGAGAUUCAGCUGCAGAAAGUGACAGAUGAAAGGAGACAAUGGUUGUGUAGGAAGAUGGAGAAAAUGCUCACUCUGAGGAUGAGACAGGGUUUUUUGUUUUUUUGUGGGGGAAAACAUAAAAUGAGGCAGUUACACAUUCAUUAUGAAGGUGUGCUACAGAAAAUAAUCUGGUGCUCUUGCUAACUUUGCUCCUUCACUGUUGCUUGCAAAUAGCCAAAAGCCGUAUGUUAUAGCUUAUUGUGUGAAGGUAACUAAGAAAAAGUGUUCCAUGACUUUAUAGAGUACAUCUAUGCAGAGUCCAUUAUUUGAGUUUUUGACAUUUAAUAACUUUGCUAGAAAAAUCUGUAAAAAAAAAAAAAAAAAAAAAAAAAAAAAAAACAUUUGCAAGUGAUUAAGCCCCAUGUAUGUUUGUGCGAAAGUCCUACUUCAGGCACUCUGGUAGUAGCUGUGCACAAGGGGGGCCCAGGGCUGCACCUCUGACCACCUUUUGUGGUACUACCCAAACCUUAAGAUAUACUUUUGAUAAUAGAUAACUGCUCUUUUACUAAGAGAUCGUCUCUACCUAUAGAAAUGUAUUUUCAAAACACUUAUUUUACACAGCAAUUUUGUAUCCAUUUAAACUAAUCUUUUAUCAAUAAAGCACUAUUGUUUAGAUGUUA